rnacentral:misc_RNA from 1 species
AUAGUAGAUUGACUCACUCAUCACGAAAUCUCCGAAACUAUAACAGCUACAAAUUUGACAUUUGGCAGGUUGGUUUCUUAUAAGGCUUAAACAUCCGCUAAGAACAAAUUUUACGAAACUCGACCCCUAAGGGGGUGAAAUGGGGGUUGCAAGUUUGUAUGAACGUACUAUGAUUUUGAAGUAAGAGACUUGAAAUUUAAAAUGUAUGCUCCAUAGAUGGUGAGG